GACGUUUAGCUGCAGAAGAAGCACCGGCUAACUCCGUGCCAGCAGCCGCGGUAAUACGGAGGGUGCGAGCGUUAAUCGGAAUUACUGGGCGUAAAGCGCAUGCAGGUGGUUUGUUAAGUCAGAUGUGAAAGCCCGGGGCUCAACCUCGGAAUUGCAUUUUGAAAACUGGCAAACUAGAGUACUGUAGAGGGGGUAGAAUUUCAGGUGUAGCGGUGAAAUGCGUAGAGAUCUGAAGGAAUACCGGUGGCGAAGGCGGCCCCCUGGACAGAUACUGACACUCAGAUGCGAAAGCGUGGGGAGCAAACAGGAUUAGAUACCCUGGUAG
rnacentral:rRNA from 1 species